rnacentral:rRNA from 1 species
CCUACGGGUGGCAGCAGUGGGGAAUAUUGGACAAUGGGCGAAAGCCUGAUCCAGCCAUGCCGCGUGUGUGAAGAAGGCCUUCGGGUUGUAAAGCACUUUCAGUGGGGAAGAAAGCCUUGGGGCUAAUACCCUCGAGGAAGGACAUCACCCACAGAAGAAGCACCGGCUAACUCCGUGCCAGCAGCCGCGGUAAUACGGAGGGUGCGAGUGUUAAUCGGAAUUACUGGGCGUAAAGCGCGCGUAGGCGGUCUGAUAAGCCGGUUGUGAAAGCCCCGGGCUCAACCUGGGAACGGCAUCCGGAACUGUCAGGCUAGAGUGCAGGGGAGGAAGGUAGAAUUCCCGGUGUAGCGGUGAAAUGCGUAGAGAUCGGGAGGAAUACCAGUGGCGAAGGCGGCCUUCUGGACUGACACUGACGCUGAGGUGCGAAAGCGUGGGUAGCAAACAGGAUUAGAUACCCUAGUAGUC